rnacentral:rRNA from 1 species
GACGAACCGUGCGAACGUUGUUCGGAAUUACUGGGCGUAAAGCGUGCGUAGACGGUUAUUUAAGUCGGGUGUGAAAGCCCCGGGCUCAACCUGGGAAUUGCAUUCGAGACUGAAUAGCUAGGGUACGGUAGAGGGAAGUGGAAUUUCCGGUGUAGCGGUGAAAUGCGUAGAUAUCGGAAGGAACAUCAGUGGCGAAAGCGACUUCCUGGACCAGUACCGACGUUCAGGCACGAAAGCGUGGGGAGCAAACAGG